rnacentral:rRNA from 1 species
AUUGAACGCUGGCGGCACGCCUAACACAUGCAAGUCGAGCGGUAACAUGAUCUGUAGCAAUACAGAUUGAUGACGAGCGGCGGACGGGUGAGGAAAACGUAGGAACCUGCCCUUGAGAGGGGGACAACCAAGGGAAACUUUGGCUAAUACCGCAUAAUCUCGAGAGAGGAAAGUUGCUCGCAAGGGUGACACCCGAGGAGCGGCCCGCGUCCGAUUAGCUAGUUGGAGAGGUAAGAGCUCCCCAAGGCGAUGAUCGGUAACUGGUCUGAGAGGACGACCAGUCACACUGGGACUGAGACACGGCCCAGACUCCUACGGGAGGCAGCAGUGGGGAAUAUUGGACAAUGGGGGCAACCCUGAUCCAGCGAUGCCGCGUGGGUGAAGAAGGCCUUCGGGUUGUAAAGCCCUUUAGGUUGGGAAGAAGGGUAUGGGUGGAAAUACUCAUACUUUGACGGUACCGACAGAAUAAGCACCGGCAAACUCUGUGCCAGCAGCCGCCGUAA